rnacentral:rRNA from 1 species
UUGGAGGGCAAGUCUGGUGCCAGCAGCCGCGGUAAUUCCAGCUCCAAUAGCGUAUAUUAAAGUUGUUGCAGUUAAAAAGCUCGUAGUUGAAUUUCGGGAUCAAUACGUCGGUCGUGCUUUUUUGGUACGCACUGGCGUCAUUGGUUUCUCCUUUCUGACGAACCAUGAUGUCAUUAAUUUGGUGUUAUGGGGAGUUAGGACUGUUACUUUGAAAAAAUUAGAGUGUUUAAAGCAGGCAUUAGCUUGAAUACAUUAGCAUGGAAUAAUGAAAUAGGACGUUCGAUCCUAUUUUGUUGGUUUCUAGGAUCAACGUAAUGAUUAAUAGGGAUAGUUGGGGGCAUUAGUAUUCAAUUGUCAGAGGUGAAAUUCUUGGAUUUAUUGAAGACUAACUACUGCGAAAGCAUUUGCCAAGGAUGUUUUCAUUAAUCAAGAACGAAAGUUAGGGGAUCGAAGACGAUCAGAUACCAUCGUAGUCUUAACCAUAAACUAUGCCGACUAGGGAUCGGAUGAUGUUAAUUUUUUAAUGACUCAUUCGGCGCCUUACGGGAAAC